UACGUAGGGGGCUAGCGUUGUCCGGAUUUAUUGGGCGUAAAGAGCGUGUAGGCGGCCAGGUAGGUCCGUUGUGAAAACUCGAGGCUCAACCUCGAGACGUCGGCGGAAACCCUCUGGCUAGAGUCCGGAAGAGGAGAGUGGAAUUCCUGGUGUAGCGGUGAAAUGCGCAGAUAUCAGGAAGAACACCCGUGGCGAAGGCGGCGUCUCUGGGACGGUACUGACGCUGAGACGGCGAAAGCGUGGGGAGCAAACAGG
rnacentral:rRNA from 1 species